GAUGAACGCUGGCGGCGUGCCUAAUACAUGCAAGUCGAGCGAACAGACGAGGAGCUUGCUCCUUUGACGUUAGCGGCGGACGGGUGAGUAACACGUAGGUAACCUACCUAUAAGACUGGGAUAACUUCGGGAAACCGGAGCUAAUACCGGCUAAUAUUUCGAACCGCAUGGUUCGAUAGUGAAAGAUGGCUUUGCUAUCACUUAUAGAUGGACCUGCGCCGUAUUAGCUAGUUGGUAAGGUAACGGCUUACCAAGGCAACGAUACGUAGCCGACCUGAGAGGGUGAUCGGCCACACUGGAACUGAGACACGGUCCAGACUCCUACGGGAGGCAGCAGUAGGGAAUCUUCCGCAAUGGGCGAAAGCCUGACGGAGCAACGCCGCGUGAGUGAUGAAGGUCUUCGGAUCGUAAAACUCUGUCAUUAGGGAAGAACAAACGUGUAAGUAACUGUGCACGUCUUGACGGUACCUAAUCAGAAAGCCACGGCUAACUACGUG
rnacentral:rRNA from 1 species